rnacentral:tRNA from 1 species
GACUCGAUGGCGCAGUGGUAAGCGUUUCAGGCUCUUUUGAACUGAAGACUCCUGUUCGAUUCAGGAUCGAGUCG